UACGGAGGGUGCGAGCGUUGCUCGGAAUCAUUGGGCGUAAAGCGCACGUAGGCGGUCUGUUAUGUCGGAUGUGAAAGCCCUUGGCUCAACUGAGGAAGUGCAUCCGAAACUGGCAGGCUAGAGUACUAAAGAGGAUCGCGGAAUUCCCGGUGUAGAGGUGAAAUUCGUAGAUAUCGGGAGGAACACCGGUGGCGAAGGCGGCGAUCUGGGUAGAUACUGACGCUGAGGUGCGAAAGCGUGGGGAGCAAACAGG
rnacentral:rRNA from 1 species